CACGUAGGGCGCAAGCGUUGCCCGGAAUUAUUGGGCGUAAAGAGCUCGUAGGCGGUCUGUUGCGUCUGCUGUGAAAACCCGGGGCUUAACCCCUGGCUUGCAGUGGAUACGGACAGACUAGAGGUAGGUAGGGGAGAAUGGAAUUCCCGGUGUAGCGGUGAAAUGCGUAGAUAUCGUAAGGAAGACCAGUGGCGAAGGCGGGUCUCUGGACAGUUCCUGACGCUGAGGCACGAAGGUCAGGGGAGCAAACGGG
rnacentral:rRNA from 1 species